rnacentral:rRNA from 1 species
UAUCUGUGGAUUAAAGGUGGCUUUCGGGCUGUCGCAGAUGGAUGAGCCUGCGUUGGAUUAGCUAGUUGGUGGGGUAAGGGCCCACCAAGGCUACGAUCCAUAGCUGAUUUGAGAGGAUGAUCAGCCACAUUGGGACUGAGACACGGCCCAAACUCCUACGGGAGGCAGCAGUGGGGAAUAUUGGACAAUGGGGGCAACCCUGAUCCAGCAAUGCCAUGUGUGUGAAGAAGGCCCUAGGGUUGUAAAGCACUUUAGUUGGGGAGGAAAGCCUCAAGGUUAAUAGCCUUGGGGGAGGACGUUACCCAAAGAAUAAGCACCGGCUAACUCCGUGCCAGCAGCCGCGGUAAUACGGGGGGUGCAAGCGUUAAUCGGAAUUACUGGGCGUAAAGGGUCUGUAGGUGGUUUGUUAAGUCAGAUGUGAAAGCCCAGGGCUCAACCUUGGAACUGCAUUUGAUACUGGCAAACUAGAGUACGGUAGAGGAAUGGGGAAUUUCUGGUGUAGCGGUGAAAUGCGUAGAGAUCAGAAGGAACACCAAUGGCGAAGGCAACAUUCUGGACCGAUACUGACACUGAGGGACGAAAGCGUGGGGAUCAAACAGGAUUAGAUACCCUGGUAGUCCACGCUGUAAACGAUGAGUACUAGCUGUUGGAGUCGGUGUAAAGGCUCUAGUGGCGCAGCUAACGCGAUAAGUACUCCGCCUGGGGACUACGGCCGCAAGGCUAAAACUCAAAGGAAUUGACGGGGACCCGCACAAGCGGUGGAGCAUGUGGUUUAAUUCGAUGCAACGCGAAGAACCUUACCUGGUCUUGACAUCCUGCGAACUUUCUAGAGAUAGAUUGGUGCCUUCGGGAACGCAGUGACAGGUGCUGCACGGCUGUC